GACUCAAAAGAUGGUGAACUGUGCCUUGGUAGAGCAGAACCAGAGGAAAAACUGCUGGAGGUGCACAGGAGAUCUGACCUGCAAAUCAGUCAUCCAGCCUAAAUAUAGGAAUAAAAGACUAAUCAAACAGUCCAGUGUCUG
rnacentral:ncRNA from 1 species